CCCCCCGCCCCCAUCUCCCUCCCUUAGCUGCUGCAAGGAGCUAGAGAGCUUGGAGUGAAUGACAAUUUGGAGAAACAGCCGCAGCCUGAAGAUCUAAGAGGCUCUAAAGAAGAUGGAUAAGAAAAUCGAUGCAUAAUAAAAACUGCAGGCAAAGCCACCUUGACGGAGGCAUGUCAGAAGAUGCUGUAAGGGAGAAAUGGUACCUUUUCAUCUCUUCUAAUCCCAGCAGUUUGGGAAGCUGAGGUACAUGCAAGAAGUUUGUGGAUACAGAGCGGCAGCAGGAACCAGAC
rnacentral:lncRNA from 1 species